GCCUGGGUAGCUUAGUCAGUUAAGCAUCUGAUUUCAGCUCAGGUCAUGAUCUCACAGUUUGUGAGUUCAAGCCCCACAUUGGGCU
rnacentral:tRNA from 1 species